GUCCUACGGCGGAGAACAGCCCCCGUGCCACAGGAGCUGGCCUCGGAGGAGCUACCAAAGCUAUCCCCCAGGGUGCUGGAGGAGGGCUGCUGGCCUCAGCCUGGGUUCUGUCCUGCAUCCUGGGGUCCCCAGCCCUCCCGGGGGGCAGGUGAGGGAUGCCAAGCUGCUUUGGGGUGAGGCCGGCACAAGCCUGCUCCUUGCAUUGCAUCCCUUUCAAGGGUGGGCCUGAUUCCAGCUGUGCUGGUGGGCUCAUCCCUGGGGAGACCCCUGCCUUGCUUUUACCCUCCACUAUCCUGGGAGAUGGAUGACAGCCUCUGGCAGCAUCUGGGUGCAGGCACUGGAAGGAGGCACUACCGGCAGGACAGGGGAGGAGGAGGAAGAAGAAGAAGAGGAGGAGAAAGAUGCUGGGGAACAGCCACGGCAGCAAGGGCUGCCCAAGCAGCCCAAGCAUGACGCUCUUCAAAGUUUCUCAAGAGGCCUCAGCCGCUCUUUCAAGGUGCAAGCACCCUAGAGCCGGGAUGGCAUGGAGCUGGUCCCAGCACGGCCCGCACACUGGGAUCACUUGGUGUGACCACAGUCACACUCUGGGUUUCUUCAUUUGCCUGGGUAAGCUCGCAGGAUGCUAAUAUCCCAUGCAGGACAGUGUGGGCAAGCUGCAAAGCCCUGCUCAGCUGUGGUGACUCACUCAGGUUCCCCAUGGGAAAGUCAUCGCUCCUGGCAGGCUCCAACAGCCCAGAGGCAAAUCGUUACUUGGCAGGUAAGCAAUGCUGUUGCAUCUUUAGAUGCAACUGUUAUCUCACAAAUCCUUGCAAAACCUGACCAGUGCAGCCCAAAUGUAUGCUGGCUCAUGUGUGGGGUCUUUUGCUGUCAGUGAAGGCACUGCAGGUCACAGGGAGCUGGCUUUGGGCUGGAGCAGUAACAGGCAAUUCUGUGCUGAGCAUUGUCCAGAAGAAUAAAACAAUGCCUUGUUUGUAAGGGGUGCACACACUCCAGAGCUCCUUUCCUCCCUAGGUAGAAGAUGCACAAGGUCCACCCAAGCAAUCCCUUGGAAAUGGAGCUUUGAUCUAUCCAGGCAGAAGCAUCAGAAGAGGAAAAGUGUUUCUGUAACCUGGGUGUCCUUGGUCAACCUCCCCCUGUCCUGUUAUCUCCUCAUUAGAAAAGAAGGGACAAGAACAAAAACCGUAUAUGGAGGCCAAGCAAAUAUAGAUGUGAAGUGCACUUCAAACAGCUCCAUCCUUUCAACAAACUUUUUAUUAGCAUUCUCUCCUCCCCAGCACAAACUCUUUUAAAUCAUUAGUGAAAAGCCACUCUUUAGAAAGCAAGGACACUGCUCAGGGUACGUGUGGUAGGCAUUUCCCAGGAGAAGCCAGUGAGCGCUAGCCCAAGGUCUUCCGAACUUGACUGCAACGCAGCACGAGCAGCAGCUCCAAGGACUAGCACGGCGCUGAGCAGUGUGGCAGUCUGUGGGCAGAGCGCAGGGGUAUGGUGGGCCUGUGACAGCAUGCCCAGGCUGCUGAAGAUGCCAGUGACCCUUCUGCCAGGCACCCCAGCCCAAAACUGGAGUCACUCUGGAUUUCACUGGAGCGGAAUCGGACAGGAAGCAUUAACAACAUUUUGGAGCCAGCUUUAGCCAAUUAUCCUGGCCGCAGCCCAUAUUUUUUGGCUGUAUCACUGCUCAUGUUAGUGCCCCUGCAGUGCUGGCAUGCCGGGCGUGGAGGAGGCGACCUGCCAGCGACCUGCUAGCGACCUCCCGAGAAAAAUGCACGGCACAAAGCAGCUUCUGCGCAACUGCCACCUGACGUUACGGGGGCACAGCGAGCUUUGUAACGCUUGGCAGGUUUUCCCAAGCAGAUCUCAAAGCUGUUUGCCAGCAUGAGCAAGUUCAGGCAUGUUAGAGAAGACCUUCAGACUCAGAGGACAAAUGAGAUGCGUGGAUGAGUUUAAACCACUGGGGUAAGACCAGGGUUUUGAAAUCCCCAGGCUCGUGCCUUGACACUACGCCUGGGCUGUGGCCCAGACAGUCCAGCUGCCAGCCUGGCAUUGAUACCGGGCCCCAUGACGGUCCUGCUGAUAUCACUUCUUGUUAGAUAUUGGCUUCAAAACCAAAGCAGGAGGUGUCGCAUCCUCCUCAAAAAUCCACCCUCCGAUCCAUCUUGGAGCUGGGCGCAGAACAGCUGUUCAGUGAGACACCACGACUCAUGGUGUUGGCAGGACGGUGUAUUUAUGUCACGAGAUGAGAUCAGCCACACGGAGUAGGUCGGUCUGUCUGGAAAGAGUCUGAGUCAAGCGUGUCCUAUUAAAUUAGGGCUGGAUUUUCAAAGUAGCUCAGCUCCCAUUUAGGCUCUGUAACAAACAGGCAGAUAUUCAAAAGGAGUUGGACGUGUUGGGUCAUACUGGCUGCUGAGCUGAAGUCCUUUAAUAUCUAGCCAAAACCGUCACCGUGCCUGUUGCUACAGGCAGAGCCCUUCUGAAAACCAGCUCCACUGUGGGCUCCACGUCCUGGGAAACUCGGCUCAUCUCUGCUCUCCCACAUAUUGCACUGCAGUAGGUGACGAAACUGCAAUAACCACUGCAUCCUUAUACAUGCUGGGGAGCAGCUCCCUGUCAAAGCACAGCUCUGGCAGCUUUGCCCUUUGAUCAGCUCAGCAGCAUGGGUCAGGAGAGCUGAGUGUGAAGGUUUCCUUGCCUUUUGUUCUGUGGAAUUAGCAGAGUUAAUCAGAGUGACAGCGACUUCUGCCUCAGCGUAGAAGAAAGGUCAGUGGCUCAG